rnacentral:misc_RNA from 1 species
GUGAUGGGUUUUGGUUAAUUUGCCUAUAGAAGUUGUUGGCAGCUAUGGAUAUUUGAUAGUUAUGUGCAACUGAUUUUUGAGAUUGUAGUAUAAUGCAAUAGGUAGAUUGUCUUGUUUGAUAAUUAAGUUUAAUUGUGUAAAUUGAAUAUAUAUACAACUCGUUUUGAACUGGAAUAUGCUUAUUGAGACUUGCUGAGCUCAUGAGACGACUCCAACUGUUUAUUUCUAUGUUAAUAGAAUAGUCAAUAGUACAUGCUGUCAAUUGUGAGGAAGGUGGACCUUUGUAAGAUUAUUGCAGUUUUAGUUGUCUUGAUUGAUAGCAUACCACCAUUCUCAGUCUUGUAUAGCUAAAGGAGAAGUUAACUUUAGAUAAUGUAAGGUACUUAUACAUUGACAUCUGGUGAAAGCCCUAAAGUUUAGACAUCUGAAGUACUUGUGUUUGUGAAAUUCAUGGGGCUUGACCGCUUAGAAUAAAGAGAUAUGUAGACAUGUUGCCUCUUUUUUCUGUGUAACGAAAUAUUAAUAUCUUGCAGUUCAAUUUCAGAAGUUCUUCAAUAUAACUCUUUUUUAAUCCAAAUGCCUAGGUGAAUUUUAUUUUUUUUGGUAUUUGGCAGAAUGUGCCUUACGUAUUUGUCCCAUCAAAGCAAGCACUUGGCCGAGCAUGUGGUGUCACAAGACCUGUUAUUGCUUGUUCUGUGACAUCAAAUGAAGGAAGCCAAUUGAAGACCCAAAUACAACAACUCAAAGAUGCCAUUGAAAAGCUCUUGAUAUGAAAUAUUGCAUAAUAUGCAUGUUCGGUGUGAUGGGCCUCUCGGAUUGUCAGUGGUCUCUCCAUUGGAGGCUUUGACUGAUGAAGUUGUAUCACUAGAGACCAAAGCUUUUUACAAUGACCUUUAUUAAGAUUCUUAGUUUAAGUUUUUUCUGAUGCUUUGUGACUAUACUCUUAAUAUUUUUCCAGAACUUGAGAUAAGUCAUGCUUUGAACUUAUAAUUAUAUGGGGUUGUUUAAUGUGAGUUGAUUGUGUGUUACUGCGUAAAGAUUAUUGGAAGUUUUUGUCACAGUUGAUUUGCUAAAUGUGAUAUAAGUUAUUGUG